rnacentral:tRNA from 1 species
GGGAGCGUGGCGGAAUGGUAGACGCAACGGACUUAAAAUCCGUUGAUAUUUAUAAUCGUGAGGGUUUAAGUCCCUCCGCUCCCAAUU